GAGGCAGCAGUGGGGAAUAUUGGACAAUGGGCGAAAGCCUGAUCCAGCCAUGCCGCGUGAGUGAUGAAGGCCUUAGGGUUGUAAAGCUCUUUCAGUGGGGAAGAUAAUGACGGUACCCACAGAAGAAGCCCCGGCUAACUUCGUGCCAGCAGCCGCGGUAAUACGAAGGGGGCUAGCGUUGUUCGGAUUUACUGGGCGUAAAGCGCACGUAGGCGGAUUGGUCAGUUAGGGGUGAAAUCCCAGAGCUCAACUCUGGAACUGCCCUUAAUACUGCCAGUCUAGAG
rnacentral:rRNA from 1 species